rnacentral:rRNA from 1 species
AGAGUUUGAUCAUGGCUCAGAACGAACGCUGGCGGCAGGCCUAACACAUGCAAGUCGAACGAACCCUUCGGGGUGAGUGGCGCACGGGUGCGUAACACGUGGGAAUAUACACUUCGGUAAGGAACAACGUAGAGAAAUUUGCGCUAAUACCUUAUAAUGACUCCGGUCCAAAGAUUUAUCGCCGAAGGAUUAGCCCGCGCCUGAUUAGGUUGUUGGUGGGGUAAUGGCCUACCAAGCCGACGAUCAGUAGCUGGUCUGAGAGGAUGAUCAGCCACACUGGAACUGAGACACGGUCCAGACUCCUACGGGAGGCAGCAGUGAGGAAUAUUGCGCAAUGGGGGAAACCCUGACGCAGCCAUGCCGCGUGAGUGAAGAAGGCCCUAGGGUUGUAAAGCUCUUUCAGAUGCGAAGAUAAUGACGGUAACAUCAGAAGAAGCUCUGGCUAAAUUCGUGCCAGCAGCCGCGGUAAUACGAAUGGAGCGAGCGUUGUUCGGAAUCACUGGGCGUAAAGCGUAUGUAGGCGGACUUGAAAGUCAGAAGUGAAAUCCCGGGGCUUAACCUCGGAAUUGCUUUUGAAACUCCAAGUCUCGAGUCCCGGAGGGGUUGACGGAAUUCCUAGUGUAGAGGUGAAAUUCGCAGAUAUUAGGAGGAACACCAGUGGCGUAGGCGCAACUGGACGGGUACUGACGCUGAGAUACGAGAGCGUGGGGAGCAAACAGGAUUAGAUACCCUAGUAGUCC